rnacentral:lncRNA from 1 species
UUUUUUUUGUAAAAGUUCUUUAUUGAAUAAAUUUAGAAAGAUAUCAAAACAAUUUCAAUGAUUAUAUAUGUGGCUUUAUUGAAAGUAUUUUUGUUAAGCAUGGAUUAUCACCCCUCAGAAAUUUAUCAAAUACCAAUCCCUUAUGGCAUUUAUUUUACCUUCUCUCUCUGAAAAAUAUACAUGGGGCCUACUAAUUUUUUUUAUCAUCUCUGUCUUCCAUUUUUUUUAUUCAAAUAUGGUAAUCUUACAUGGGAUAUUCAUUUUCCCACGCCAGAUUACCUCCAACCAAAUGGAUCCUAAUGAUAAUGUUUGUCUCAAUUGUCAUGGGACAUCCUC